rnacentral:rRNA from 1 species
AUACGGAGGGUGCAAGCGCUACUCGGAAUCACUGGGCGUAAAGCGCGCGCAGGCGGGCUGAUAAGUUGGAUGUGAAAGCCUACGGCUCAACCGUAGAACUGCAUCCAAAACUGUCAGUCUAGAGUCUGGGAGGGGAAGAUGGAAUUAGUUGUGUAGGGGUAAAAUCCGUAGAGAUAACUAGGAAUACCAAAAGCGAAGGCGAUCUUCUGGAACAGUACUGACGCUGAGGCGCGAAAGCGUGGGGAGCAAACAGGAUUAGAAACCCUAGUAGUCC